rnacentral:lncRNA from 1 species
AAUCACGGAGAGCGGGUUCCGUCCCCUCCUCGCCCCGGCCUGUAACUGCUGCGGGGGCCGCUUUCUGGGCCCGCCCCUCCAGGCCAGGAGCCUUUUUCAAAAUGUGGCGGUGGCAGGGAAGGUUGUCUGCUCCAGAGGCUUCCCUAGAGUGAAGAGCUCUACUAUGUAUGCUUUAUGCGGCAGAAGGAGUGCUUUGGAGGAGUUUUUAAAUUUGUUUUUUUUUUAAAUCUUAUCGGUUUUAAUUGUAGCAAUGAUUCAAGAAACGUUAGUAGGUGCCCAUAACUUCGGUGGUGGAGAUCCAAAAGUGAACAAGACAGUGUUCUGGCUGCUAAAUUCUUCUUAACUGGUUAUGCCUGGAGACCUUCACUUGGUUCUGUGCCAGCACUGCCCAUGAACUUCAUAGACUGUGAUCUUUGCUAAGGCCUAAAUGAAUGAAGGUGCAGGACCGGAAGCAGAAGACAGAAAGUGGAGACCAGAUGUUUGAAGCUGGGUAAAGGCAGGGAUGGAGCAGGAACCGAGGAACAAACCUUGGAACUAGGGCGAUUUCUGCUUUUAUGAACCAG